GGAAUACUGAUGCUUCGCUUCGGUAUAACUAGUUGAAGUAGAAGACCUUAACUGAUAGCAUAGUCAUAUUAUCAACUCUGUUAACUUGCAUUAAACCCAUUAUUAGCUUGUGAUUAAGAAUGCUGUGGCCUUGUUGCUUGCUAAUUCUUACUCUUAAUUUAGCAUUAGCUGUCCUUUCUGCUGAUAAUUAUAGCAGGGAGGACUUCCCUCCUGUCUUUGUUUUUGGCGCUGCUACCUCUGCUUAUCAGGUGGAAGGAGCCGCACAUGAGGAUGGGAGGAGUCCCAGCGUUUGGGAUACCUUUUCUCAUGGAGGUGGAGAUGUGGCGGUUGAUGAGUAUCACAGAUACAAGGAAGAUGUCCAACUUAUGGCUGAAACUGGGUUACAGGCCUAUAGAUUUUCCAUCUCAUGGCCAAGGCUUAUCCCAAAUGGAAGAGGACCUGUCAAUCCAAAGGGUUUACAGUAUUACAAUAACCUCAUCAAUGAACUUAUUAGC
rnacentral:misc_RNA from 1 species